rnacentral:rRNA from 1 species
AACGUAGGAGGCGAGCGUUAUCCGGAUUUACUGGGUGUAAAGCGCGUGCAGGCGGUUUGUUAAGUUGGGUGUGAAAGCUCCUGGCUCAACUGGGAGAGGUCGCUCAAGACUGGCAGACUGGAGAGCAGGAAGGGAAGGUAGAAUUCCGGGUGUAGUGGUGAAAUGCGUAGAUAUCCGGAGGAAUACCAGUGGCGAAGGCGGCCUUCUGGACUGCAUCUGACGCUCAGACGCGAAAGCUAGGGGAG